GUUACAUGGCUUCAGAUGCUUUACAUUUUUGAGCUGCCAAGACAAAUUAGAACAUUACUUGAGGCCUCUUUAGAGCAUCUCUAGGAGACCCCUUAAAAAUUGACCCUUAAAAACGCAUAUAAGGGGCACAGUAAACUAUUUUUACGGUGCGAAAUUGCCCUGGACAGAGCAUACCCCGUAGAUAAAACUGUAUCCCACUGUAGCUCAUAUUUUUUCUUUUAUUUCCUUCUUCCUCCCUCCCGGCAGAGCCCGUCUCCGGCCACAGCAUGCCUCGCCCUGGCACCUCUGCUCGCCCCAGCGCCGCCCGCCUUGCCCCCGCGCCGCCUGCCCCGACCGCGAGUUCCCUGGCGUGCCUUCCUGUCCCCAAUUGAGCCCGACACCGGCCACCACUGCGCGCGCUCCCCGGCGUGGCUGCGUGAGCUCCCCAGCGCCCCCUGCCACUACGUGCGACCCGCCCACCCUCCUGCCGCCCUUCUCCGGCGCCGCCCCUCCCCGAUUCGGGCCGCCGGUGGCCUGCUCCGCCCUACCCGUGGACAGCCUCGCCUCGACAGUGGAGGUCGAGCCGGCCGCAAUUCGGACCAGCGGCGGCAAAUUCCGGCGUGCGGCGGCUUCUUCCGACGUGCGGCGACGGAUACCGGUGCUAUGUGAUUGGCUCAAGAUGAUUCAGCUAUCAUCACAUUUUCUAGAACGGUGCAGUGUGUAAUAUAGAAUUGUGCCAACAGUUCCGUGUGAUUUUGUUUUGACACCAGUUAGCAAAGCAGCAAGGCCAUCAUAAAUGUGGUCAUGCGAUGUUGGCUAUAACAGAGGCAAUGAUUUGAACUGGAUAUCGGUGGGUCGACAUGCAGUUAGUGCAUCGGGGUCCUUGUGGAGGCCAAAGUGGUUAGAUGAUUUGCGACGUACGUAGUACGAUAGGCAGUGGUGCCAUGUUGGGCAGAAGCAUUAUUCAGACAAUUACUCAAGUUUGAGCUUUCGUCAACACGGAGGGGACAUUUAGGACAGCGUCAGCUGGAGAGCCACCAUCAAGUGGGUUCCUUGGGAUGUUUCGUGCGACCUUCCGAAGCUUACAACAUGUCCAUGGCCGUGGUACUGAGUACUGAUCCGUGCGGUAGCUGAAAGACAUGAGGGCAGGGGAGCAUUGUAGGGCCUAGAGAGUUAAGAAGCAGCUUCCUUUGUUACGCAUUAAUUUGGUUAGGAAGGUCUUGGUUGGUUCAAGCAGCUUGGUGGACAAUUCAAUACGGCUGUUGUACCUUGUGGCCCGGCCAAAUUGAUUUCCAGCACCAAUUCUGUUAGGAAGGUCUUGGUUGUGACGCGGCGCCCUCAUUUCCUUGCUUCUUCCUGCCAUCCCUAACAGGCCUACAGAAAUAGUGCAGCUAACCUGGUUAUCAUCUCAACCAAAUUCGUGGACAACUGGAGAUCAUUUGGUACUAGCGCCAAUUCUUUUGUCAAUCGUUUGAUCUCAUUUUGUGCUGAAACAGGCUUCUUGAUGGCAUCUAGUGACGCACUUAGCGAAUUCGUUACGGUCAUGUAAAGCAGAAUUACGCUGAAGCAGCUGUGUGGUGACGGAGGAUUUCCCAUGGCUGCAGGCUAUUACCUAUCAGACAGCAUGUCUGUUCGGUGUAAGCUGGGGAGGGGUCUGAUUCUGGGAGAAUCUUGCAAAAGAACUGGCCCAUGAUCCUUUUACACAUUGAUAUGCUGACGUGAUAGUAAUCACAUGAGCCAUGAACUAAGAUGAUUGACAGCUCUGGAGCACACAUCUGAUCAGCAGAGCAUACAGGUGCAACCUUGCAAGCACACUCUUGACCAAAUACUGCUCCUGGAUGCAAAGGUAUUUUCGUUACCCAUUAAUACCUAGCUAGCCAGGCCGACUCGGCCGACGUCGGCGCUCACCGGCGGAAUCAAUCAUUGGUGAUCUCCGGUGGAUUUAAUCCACAAGAUACAUCAGCGUGCAGCUCAUCUUAUGGCCAUCGAAGCACAUCCUACUGAGAGCACCUCAACCGGCUGAUGGAUCAGAGAGCACGACACAACCGGACUUGAGGUUGAUUGAAAUCUGAGAUCUGAAAUAAGAAUAUACGGUCCCUUUGAGGAGAUGGGUCUCAUCGUUUGCUGACAUUAAUUCUGUGAACGGAAGAAUAUUUGUGUGGUCUAUGGUUGUCACUGGAGGCAUGCGGCUUAGGGCGUCUAGAACGGAAGAAUCAAUUCAGUGGCUUCUGGUGGUCAGUUGAGGGUGGCAACAUCAUGCGUGGUGUGCUUGUCGAUCUCCAACGUAUUCUCACGGUCAUAUGGCCAGCGGCACCCAGCUAGCCGUAAACUGAUUACUGGCAUACUUCUUAAUUACUUCUGCUAGUGGAUAAAUGAUCAAAUGUACCCAGCUGUUGUUUCGUCUUGGGAAAUUGGUAUACCCAGCAAAAGGAACAGUAGCUCCGGUUGCUAAUUUACUGUGUAGAAACUACUAAUUUUAUUAAAGCUAGAGGAUCCUACCUGUUUAGUUGUCGAAGAGUACACUACCUUGCUUCCUUUAUGUUAGUAUCAGUUUACUGAACUUGCUGCUUUAAUUUUCUAUUUGUAAAAGGGCAUAUGCACUUCCCUCUUCAACGAGUGCUUCAUUUUGCUUUGCAGAAGCCGUAUGUGCUUGAUGCUAUAUAAAAAGAAUUUAAUA